rnacentral:rRNA from 1 species
GAACGCUGGCGGCAUGCCUUACACAUGCAAGUCGAACGGCAGCACGGGAGCAAUCCUGGUGGCGAGUGGCGAACGGGUGAGUAAUAUAUCGGAACGUGCCCAGUCGUGGGGGAUAACGUAGCGAAAGCUACGCUAAUACCGCAUACGAUCUAUGGAUGAAAGCGGGGAUCGCAAGACCUCGCGCGAUUGGAGCGGCCGAUAUCAGAUUAGGUAGUUGGUGAGGUAAAGGCUCACCAAGCCGACGAUCUGUAGCUGGUCUGAGAGGACGACCAGCCACACUGGGACUGAGACACGGCCCAGACUCCUACGGGAGGCAGCAGUGGGAAUUUUGGACAAUGGGCGCAAGCCUGAUCCAGCAAUGCCGCGUGCAGGAUGAAGGCCUUCGGGUUGUAAACUGCUUUGUACGGAACGAAACGGUGAGCUCUAAUACAGUUUGCUAAUGACGGUACCGUAAGAAUAAGCACCGGCUAACUACGUG